rnacentral:rRNA from 1 species
AUUGAACGCUAGCGGGAUGCCUUACACAUGCAAGUCGAACGGAGUGGCGAACGGGUGAGUAAUGUAUCGGAACGUGCCCAGUAGCGGGGGAUAACUACGCGCAAGCGUAGCUAAUACCGCAUACUAUUGGACCGGCCGAUAUCGGAUUAGCUAGUGGGUGGGAUAACGGCUCACCAAGUCGACGGUCCGUAGCUGGUUUGAGAGGACGACCAGCCAACCUGGGACUGAGACACGGCCCAGACUCCUACGGGAGGCAGCAGUGGGGAAUGUUGGACAAUGGGGGAAACCCUGAUCCAGCCAUCCCGGGUGUGCGAUGAAGGCCUUCGGGUUGUAAAGCACUUUUGGCAGGAAAGCGGUACCUGCAGAAUAAGCACCGGCUAACUACGUGCCAGCAGCCGCGGUAAUUC